rnacentral:rRNA from 1 species
UACGGGGGGGACAAGCGUUGUUCGGAAUUACUGGGCGUAAAGGGCUCGUAGGCGGCCAACUAAGUCGGACGUGAAAUCCCUCAGCUUAACUGGGGAACUGCGUCUGAUACUGGAUGGCUUGGAUUUGGGAGAGGGAUGCGGAAUUCCAGGUGUAGCGGUGAAAUGCGUAGAUAUCUGGAGGAACACCGGUGGCGAAGGCGGCAUCCUGGACCAACAUUGACGCUGAGGAGCGAAAGCCAGGGGAGCAAACGGG